rnacentral:rRNA from 1 species
ACUCAAAUGAAUUGACGGGGGCCCGCACAAGCAGCGGAGCGUGUGGUUUAAUUCGAUGAUACACGAAGAACCUUACCAGGGUUUGACAUGCAAGUGGUAGGGAUCCGAAAGGUGACCGACCCUUCGGGGAGCUUGCACAGGUGCUGCAUGGCUGUCGUCAGCUCGUGUCGUGAGAUGUUCGGUUAAGUCCGCUAACGAGCGCAACCCUCGCCGUGUGUUACAAGUGUCACGCGGGACCGCCGGUCUUAAGCCGGAGGAAGGUGGGGAUGACGUCAAGUCAGCAUGGCCUUUAUGUCCUGGGCUACACACACGCUACAAUGGCCAGUACAACAGGUAGCGAAGUCGCGAGGCGGAGCCAAUCCUCAAAGCUGGUCUCAGUUCAGAUCGCAGGCUGCAACUCGCCUACGUGAAGAUGGAGUUGCUAGUAACCGCAGGUCAGCUAUACUGCGGUGAAUACGUUCCCGGGCCUUGUACACACCGCCCGU